GACGAACGCUGGCGGCGUGCUUAACACAUGCAAGUCGAGCGGUAAGGCCCUUUCGGGGGUACGACGAGCGGCGAACGGGUGAGUAACACGUGGGUGACCUGCCCUCAGCUCUGGGAUAAGCCCGGGAAACUAGGGUCUAAUACCGGAUAUGACUCCAUGACGCAUGUUGUGGGGUGGAAAGCCUUGUGCGGCUGAGGAUGGGCCCGCGGCCUAUCAGCUUGUUGGUGGGGUGAUGGCCACCAAGGCGACGACGGGUAGCCGGCCUGAGAGGGCGACCGGCCACACUGGGACUGAGAUACGGCCCAGACUCCUACGGGAGGCAGCAGUGGGGAAUCUUGCGCAAUGGGCGAAAGCCUGACGCAGCGACGCCGCGUGAGGGAUGACGGCCU
rnacentral:rRNA from 1 species